rnacentral:rRNA from 1 species
UACGUAGGGGGGCAAGCGUUGUCCGGAAUCAUUGGGCGUAAAGAGCGUGUAGGCGGCCCGAUAAGUCCGCUGUGAAAGUCCAGGGCUCAACCCUGGAAUGCCGGUGGAUACUGUCGGGCUCGAAUCCGGAAGAGGUGAGUGGAAUUCCUGGUGUAGCGGUGAAAUGCGCAGAUAUCAGGAGGAACACCUAUUGCGAAGGCAGCUCGCUGGGACGUAACUGACGCUGAGACGCGAAAGCGUGGGGAGCAAACAGG